AUGCCACAAAGAAACUUAGUAACGAACCUGUUCUAGAAUGUAUGGUUGCACAUCAUGGAAGCAGUUGUCAGCGCUUUGACAAAUGGACCUGCAGCUGUCAGACAGCUGUGUGCUGCACUGAUUUGGAAACAAAAGAUAAAAAUGCAUUGCAUGCAUGCACAGUGGAGAAAAAUUGCAUUACAAACAAGAGGCUCAUAAAGGGCAUUACAUCAUGUCCAGAAAAAAAAGGAGAACUUUCAGGAUGGUUGCUCAUCUACAGAGGGUGUAGAGAUGCCUCAGACACCCUGGUCUAAGUCACUUUUCAGAACCUCUCCCAUGUGCAGGGCUGUAGUGCCCAGCAUGAUUCUCUUGUGGAGAGCCGGCCUUUGCACCUUCAUGUGCCUCAGAAAAAGUGGGGAAUAAGCAGCCAUCAGCAACACGAAGCUUGCAGUAUCCACAUGGAAUCAUAGUAUCCUUUAGGUUGGAAAAGACAUACUGAAACCAGAACUGACUCAGGAGAUGUUAACGGCCACUAGAAGAUGUCUUCCAAUAAGUGUGAUCUGGAAAGAUAAAAGGGCUCACUCUUUGACCUUCUUCACAGACAAGAAGGUCUUGUGCCUGGGUUCAAUAAAAAGGUGCAAAAAUCUGAUGGCUAUAAUUCU
rnacentral:lncRNA from 1 species